CGAUUCAUGAAAUGGCUUCCGUUGAACCUAGGUGAUUUUAUGUAUGUCAUUCAUGCUACAUAUCGAUGCACCUGUAUUCAAUCCAAUAUAUUCUGGGAGCUUCAAUUUUUUCUUCUUUACUUUAUGAAAUUUAAUUCACUUGCUCUUUCUAGUUCCGUUCUGUCGACAGGAAUCAUAAUCAAUUAACAUGCUAUUACUUAUAAUGCUAAUUAAACCUAAUCAAGGUUGAAGGAUAUUAUUUGAAAUUCAUGAUUCACCUCUGUGUUCCAUAAAAUCGCUUUUCAAGUAUACAUUAUCAGUGGUAGAUAUAUCCCAUUUUUCUUCUGUUAACUGAUUUGUUUUAGCAGUAGUGAUGAUAAAUUUUACGAGAAGGAGAUGCAGAUUGAGGGAUGAUUAUAUCCGAGGAAAAGUAAUGUCGACGAUUCUCAAUGCAGGUGGUGUUUUGGAUGACUCUACGGGCAAAAUAGUCAACUUAUUUCUCUUCCCCUCGUGGAGCUCGUUUAUUUAGCCGUCCAUUUAAUUAUUCUUACUUCUGUGUAAUUAUUAUUUAUUAUUGCGGUUUCCAUUCCAUGGGCUGCCUCUCUCUCAAAUUACAUUGUUGCCAUCGACCGUCGCUUCCUUCUCUUAAAAAGCGUUCUUUACAUAUUAUCUAUUAUUGUGAAUGCCAUUUCCCACCAAAGGUUUGAUCAAAAGACUUUGCCAUCCUGAUAGCAUAAAUAAUAUUUUUUUCAUUCAAAAUUAAAUUCUCUUAAGUAAAAAAAUCUUAACGUUUUAUUUUUUAAAAUCAUCCUAUAACCUUAAAAUUACAAAAAUUAUAAAGAAAAUUCUUAUUUUUCUUUUUUUUCACUCUCACAUCUUCUUCCUCUUUUCUUUUCUGAUCUAUCAACCCCUACCACCUCCGGCAGCACAUCCUACACCACCAACCCUGCAGCCCAGCUCUUGUGAAUGCAUCAUCAUAGAGACAACCACCGUUUUGAUUGUAGAAAAACUUAUCAGAUCCCCACCCAACUCUCAUUUCACUGCAGCAAAUGCAAAACCCAAAUUAAAAAUUUUAUUGCUAACCUCAUUAGUCAUUUCUAAACCCCAAAAAAAAAAAAAUCUGUUUCUCUUUUCUCUAAAAUCUAUAAUUGAGUCCCAUUCGUCCUCUCUCAGAAAAAAAAAAAAAAAGGUAAGGAGUUAAAGGAACAACCACAUGCAAUCAUCAUCAACUCAGCCCAGCACCAGGAAGAGAAAGACCUGGACUUCGCAUCUGACGAAAGUGAACCACCAUUACCCCCUCAUAUUGACUUCGCGGAAGUGUUUGAAUCAUCCUUAAUGAAAAAGAGAUUUGCUUUCAUGAUUUAAGAGGGUUAAAUGUGUAUGGCAGUACUCAAGAGAUUUGCAUGGCCACACAGCACAGGUACAUAGCCAUUCAUCACUAGAUUCACUACUCUUUCAUCAUCAUCAUCAUCAUCAUUUUUUUAAUUUAAUUUUUACCCAAUAAAAAAAAAAAAAGAGUUGAUUGCUUCACCGGGUUAUGUAGAUAAGUAGUUGACCCAUGAAUUAUGAUUGGACAGCAUUGAUGCUAGACACGUGAUGUUCUUGAAAAUUUACUUGUGUCGUAUGAUUGGUGAAAUAUUUUAUGAUAUUGAAGAUGACCCAACCCACUGUUAAAACCA